rnacentral:rRNA from 1 species
ACUCCUACGGGAGGCAGCAGUGGGGAAUUUUGCACAAUGGAGGAAACUCUGAUGCAGCAACGCCGCGUGAGUGAUGAAGGCCUUUGGGUUGUAAAGCUCUUUCGGUUGGGAAGAAGGGUAGUAUGGCUAAUAUCCAUGUUAUUUGACGGUACCAAAAGAAGAAGCACCUGCUAACUUCGUGCCAGCAGCAGCGGUAAUACGAAGGGUGCAAGCGUUGUUCGGAAUUACUGGGCGUAAAGGGCGCGUAGGCUGGUUUGUAAGUCUAAUGUGAAAUCCCCGGGCUUAACCCGGGACGUGCAUUGGAGACUGCAGAUCUUGAAUGCUUGAGAGGGUGGUGGAAUUCCAGGAGUAGAAGUGAAAUUCGUAGAUAUCUGGAGGAACACCGGAGGCGAAGGCGGCCACCUGGCAAGACAUUGACGCUGAGGCGCGAAAGUGCGGGGAGCAAACAGGAUUAGAUACCCUGGUAGUCCGCACCAUAAACGAUGGAUACUAGAUGUUCGGAGAAUUAACCCUCCGAGUAUCAAAGUUCACACAUUAAGUAUCCCGCCU